AUGACAUAAUCAGUAGGCCCUCCCUGAAACAUCUAUUGAAACCUGGAGAGGACUAGCUUCUUCUGUGAUGUCACAAGUGUUGUCGUGACUGCAACUCCCUUCAGAUAUCCCUUCAGUACCUCUAGUGUUUACUAAUUUAACUCUAAUCGAGAGUAAACAGUCAUUGUGGAGUGAGAAGGAAGAGGAUGAUGAGAUCAGAGAUUGGAAGAAUGAAGGUGUCUUCUGUCUUGUUAUAAAAAAAGGAUGAAAUACAUGGUACUUCGGAAAGCUCAAAAAACUCUCAAAACUCAUCCUGGCUGACAAUGUAGAUUAGACGCAUCAGAUGAAAUGAAUUGAAAAACUCUCCUGGGAAUGAAAGUGAUAACUGAAUGAUUAUUGUAAAGCAAAUCCCGGAAUGAACUUAUGAGACCCACCAUCAGCCUGUCAAAUAAUGUGCGAAAGAAGAAAUCUGUGUCUCUCCAGGGACAAAUUGUUGCUUUCAAACCAACAGUAAAGUGUCCAUUCUAUGAAUGAUACAUUGAUAUAUACACAUUAUAGAAGGAUGGAUACAGAGUUUCUUCAGGUCCAUGAAUGAGGUAUUCAGCAGUUGACCUGGAGUAGCAAUGAGGGUAAUUUUUGCCAACUCUUCAGACUUGAGCUCCUUCACUAGGAUCCCCAUGAUUGAAGAAAAGAACAAACUUCAGACAAUUUGUCUCAGAUUUUUAUGUAGUUAAGAUUUCCUGGUCUUGGUCCUAGGAAGGAAGGAUAUCUUGCUUUCCAAUUCUUGUUUAUCCUAUAAUCCUCUCUGCUGCAUUCAUGCAAAUAGAUUACUGUGCAUUUCUUUAAUAGGUUACAAUUGCUAUUUUAAUUAUGUUGCCAAGAACUAUAGAAAAAAAGAAGUACUGUAUCAAAGCAUCAUAUGAAAAUCCGACUAAGGUAAUGUGGCCAUUGGAAAUUUGUAACUGACCUGAAACUCUUACUAGAGACAAAAUGCCAUAAAAGGUCUUCUCUAGAUAUCUGGUGUAGUAGUUGGUGUUCCCCAACAGACAGUAAAGGAUGAAUCUCUCUGUACAGAGAAAUCGGACUAGUCACAAUGAUCACAGACUAUGGAACACAUAAUUUAACAAUGACUGACUAUUUUUAAAGUCCUAGAAUCCAUUAGUUUAUUAGUCCAAAAGGCAAGAUGUCUUAUCUGGUCAUUGACAUAUGGAUAAAUAUUCAGUAUGCAGGUUCUAAUGUCUAUGAGGAUUUGGUAUCACUGUGAGUGCAAAAAUGAAAAAGUAAAGGCUUCUUACUUCCAUGUUUUCUACGGGAAUUCAAAUAGAAUGCAUGGUUUAGAAUACAUUGGGUUUGCCAUUCUCAAACAGACCAAUAUCUUCAACUGAACAUUCUUUUCUUGGAAGCUGCACCCUGUCAGCAUGGCUCACGUGUAUGUGAACUGCAAGAUCUAGUCUGGGAAGGCGGUCCUGUUCAUCGAUCCAACCUGCCCCUAAUACUGAAAUACCCAAGACUUCCUCAAUCAACUCCUUUGCAAACAUGGUCUUCUGGGAUUUGAAGACAUUACAUCUACUAACAACACCAAUUCAAUUCAAGAUUACUUUCAACAGCUCCCUGGAGUGAGAAUUGUUCCUUGGGUCCUUAUAUGUAGAGAAAGACUGCAUAGGCAGACACAGUGAUCUAAUCUACCUGCAACAGAAUGAAGAGAUGAUGAUGUGGCUGAAGCAGAUUGGAGCUCUGCAUUUAUUAAAGGGAUGGCAGUAAAAGCCCAUGCUGACAGCAGACAUUCAGACAUGCUGAAGCCAUGCUGAGACUUGAUGUUUGUCACAGAUGAUGUCAGUAUUUUCUUAUGACUGGGAUUUUCAACAAAUUGGCUUUCAUUCUAUUCCUCAUUCCAAAAAAUCUGUUGCUGUAGGCCUCAAACCAUGGGGUAGGGAAACUUAAGAGACAACAGAGGUUUGAUAAUCCAGUCUUCAUUCACUGACUUGUCUCUACCUCUAAGUCCAUGUUUCACAAUCCAGUGCAUUUAAAUCUCCAGGGAAUCAGUUACUGUUUCUCUACCAUGCUGGUCUGCUGAAGUCAUUUUACAGAAGUCCACUUCCAAGUAAUUAUUAAAGCAAUGAAUAUUUUGAAGUUGUUUAUGAUCUACACACAGGCUUUUUACGCCCCAAGCAUGUACCAUCCCACUUCUGCAUUUGCAGCUCUCAGCCAGUGUUCUCGACCUAUCCAUCCAGCAACCCUUAGAUUCCACACUUUGUAUGAGGAUAAUAUUUGAAAAAACAGAAGAAUAGCUGUAGCAUAGUUGUUCUUCACUGUAGCCAUAUUAACACAGACGGCAGAGCAUAUGAUGCAUUCAUCUCUGUUUGUAGUGUUUAAUUCCCCGUAAAGUCCCAAACAAUUGAGAGUUGAUUCUGUCAGAGUACCAGCAAAGUCAAAAAGGAAAUGCAAAAUUUCAGAAUUCUCCUUCCAAAGAUGUUUUGAAAGAAGUUGUUUGCAAAACACUGUCUUAAUAAAUUUAUUCCAUUCUCACUUUGAU